GCUGCUAACAGUUGACUAACAAAAUCAGAUAUGUUAUCCAUAAUUGAUUACUUUGCACUUUUGAAAAUUUCAGUUUAAGUAUUUUCUUCAAACAAUCGAUUGUUAAACACAAACAAACGAUUGUUGAACAUUGACAAUCGAUUGUUAAACACACACAAUCGAUUAUUCGCUAUUUUGAAAAACUUCAGAUCAUACUGUCUUAAGACAAUCGAUUGUUAUGCAUAGACAAUCGAUUGUUGGCUAUUUUGAAAAAUUCCAGAGCACACUNNN
rnacentral:lncRNA from 1 species